GCCGGGGCGUCGUCACUGGCCGGGGCGGGAGUCGGAGUCGCUACGGCUGGCGUCCAGGUGGAGCUUGAGCUUGCCGAAGGGGGAGCCUUCCUCACUGAGGGCGGAGUCUGCCCCGUCGGAGGAGGCGGCGGGCGCGAGGCUCGAGGCUCUAGGCGCGGGUGCGGGCCAGGCACCGGGAGCGGCCGACGAAGACCGUGAGGGCGUUCACGAGGAAGGAAUCUUCGUAUCCUGCUUUGAACGGAGGUGAAAGCCUGUUUACGUUCUAAUCACUAUAGCGUCGAUUUCAUAAAAUUUAGUAAAAGCCCC